GAUGAACGCUGGCGGCGUGCUUAACACAUGCAAGUCGAACGAACCUUCGGGUUAGUGGCGGACGGGUGAGUAACGCGUGAGAAUCUGCCCUCAGGAGGGGGAUAACAGCUGGAAACGGCCGCUAAUACCCCAUAUGCCGCGAGGUGAAAUGAAUUUCGCCUGAGGAUGAGCUCGCGUCUGAUUAGCUAGUUGGUGGAGUAAAGGCCUACCAAGGCAUCGAUCAGUAGCUGGUCUGAGAGGAUGAUCAGCCACACUGGGACUGAGACACGGCCCAGACUCCUACGGGAGGCAGCAGUGGGGAAUUUUCCGCAAUGGGCGAAAGCCUGACGGAGCAACGCCGCGUGAGGGAUGAAGGCCUCUGGGCUGUAAACCUCUUUUAUCAAGGAAGAAGAUCUGACGGUACUUGAUGAAUAAGCCACGGCUAAUUCCGUGCCAGCCGCCGCCGUAACAC
rnacentral:rRNA from 1 species